GACGAACGCUGGCGGCGUGCUUAACACAUGCAAGUCGAACGCUGAAGCUUGGUGCUUGCACUGGGUGGAUGAGUGGCGAACGGGUGAGUAAUACGUGAGUAACCUGCCCUUGACUCUGGGAUAAGCCUGGGAAACUGGGUCUAAUACUGGAUAUGACAUGCCACUGCAUGGUGGUGUGUGGAAAGGGUUUUACUGGUUUUGGAUGGGCUCACGGCCUAUCAGUUUGUUGGUGGGGUAAUGGCCUACCAAGGCGACGACGGGUAGCCGGCCUGAGAGGGUGACCGGCCACACUGGGACUGAGAAACGGCCCAGACUCCUACGGGAGGCAGCAGUGGGGAAUAUUGCACAAUGGGCGGAAGCCUGAUGCAGCGACGCCGCGUGAGGGAUGACGGCCUUCGGGUUGUAAACCUCUUUCAGCACGGAAGAAGCGAGAGUGACGGUACGUGCAGAAGAAGCGCCGGCUAAAUACGUG
rnacentral:rRNA from 1 species